AAGACCUUGCGCUUUUGGAGCGGCCGAUGCCUGAUUAGCUUGUUGGUAAGGUAAAAGCUUACCAAGGCUUCGAUCAGUAGCUGGUCUGAGAGGACGGCCAGCCACACUGGGACUGAGACACGGCCCAGACUCCUACGGGAGGCAGCAGUGGGGAAUUUUGGACAAUGGGGGCAACCCUGAUCCAGCCAUGCCGCGUGAGUGAAGAAGGCCUUCGGGUUGUAAAGCUCUUUCAGUCGGGAAGAAAAGGUUACGGUUAAUAACUGUAAUUCAUGACGGUACCGACAGAAGAAGCACCGGCUAACUACGUGCCAGCAGCCGCGGUAAUACGUAGGGUGCGAGCGUUAAUCGGAAUUACUGGGCGUAAAGGGUGCGCAGGCGGUCUUGUAAGUCAGAUGUGAAAGCCCCGGGCUCAACCUGGGAACU
rnacentral:rRNA from 1 species